UACGGGGGGAGCAAGCGUUGUUCGGAUUUACUGGGCGUAAAGGGCGCGUAGGCGGUCGUGACAAGUCACUUGUGAAAUCUCCGGGCUUAACUCGGAACGGUCAAGUUAUACUGUCGGACUAGAGUACAGAAGGGGCAACUGGAAUUCUCGGUGUAGCGGUGAAAUGCGUAGAUAUCGAGAGGAACACCUGCGGCGAAGGCGGGUUGCUGGGCUGAUACUGACGCUGAGGCGCGAAAGCCAGGGGAGCGAACGGG
rnacentral:rRNA from 1 species